GUCUACAGAAGGGGAGGCACCAGUAUUUGUGUUAGAAGCCAUGGUCAAUGAACCGGCUUAAAUGAACAACUUUUCAACAGGCAGAGUAUAACCAAAAACAGGUAUUCACACACAAUAACCAGCAAACAGAGUAUAACCAAAAAUCAAAUCAGGUAUUCACAGACAACAUCAGAUGCUCACAUACACAGAGUCAGAUAAUCACAUAUAAUACCGAAGAUAAGGACAGAGUUACCCUCAUUCUUCGCGACUGGAGAAGAUCGGCCUUCAAACAACAGAGAAACCCUAGGUAUCAAAUCCUAGGUGUAACCUUGGAAAUCCUUACUGGAAAUCUGAUCAGGAACGUCGGAGAGGAACCCAAAACGUCCACUGAGUGAGAAUCGAACCACCGGAUGGCAGUAAAACUUUAGGUUAAACCACCAGAAACCCUAGAAACCGAUAGGUCACCCAAAAAUCAACCAAAAAUCAUCAUAAAAUCUUCCAGAACGUUCAGGAGAAGAAAAUACACUCCGAUAUCACGACGAAAGACUCAGAAAGGUGUCCGAUAGAGAACGUUCAGGAGAAGAAAAUACACUCCGAUAUCACGACGAAAGACUCAGAAAGGUGUCUGAUAGAUCGGAAUCUUCAUCGACCGUGAGGUCUGAUAAAACACCCCCAAAACCUCGAAACAAACUUCAUCCAAGACAACGAAGUACAAAGAAACAUAAUCGUCGUCGAGGCUCUGAUACCAUGUAAACAUUCAUAUUAGACCGAGAAAUCAUAUAAAAUCUAGAGAGAGAAAGUAGAGAGAAGGCAGAGCGUCUUGGAAUUCUCUAGAAGAUGAGAGAAGUGCAUUACAGAAAAUAAAAUGAAAAAUGAGUCUCGGUAGGUGAGAAAAUAUCUCACCUACAUAUAUACUUAUUACACAUGGACGGGUCGGAUCGGGUGAUCCGGCCCAAAAUUAAAUAAUGGACAUUGGGCUCAGAUACACAAAU
rnacentral:lncRNA from 1 species